AACGAACGCUGGCGGCAUGCCUAACACAUGCAAGUCGAACGAGACCUUCGGGUCUAGUGGCGCACGGGUGCGUAACGCGUGGGAACCUGCCCUUGGGUUCGGAAUAACUCCCCGAAAGGGGUGCUAAUACCGGAUAAUGUCUUCGGACCAAAGAUUUAUCGCCUUUGGAUGGGCCCGCGUUGGAUUAGCUAGUUGGUAGGGUAAAAGCCUACCAAGGCGACGAUCCAUAGCUGGCCUGAGAGGAUGAUCAGCCACACUGGGACUGAGACACGGCCCAGACUCCUACGGGAGGCAGCAGUGGGGAAUAUUGGACAAUGGGCGAAAGCCUGAUCCAGCAAUGCCGCGUGAGUGAUGAAGGCCUUAGGGUUGUAAAGCUCUUUUACCCGGGAUGAUAAUGACAGUACCGGGAGAAUAAGCUCCGGCUAACUCCGUG
rnacentral:rRNA from 1 species